UCUGCUUCUUCCACCGUUUGAUGUCGAUCAGUGCAGAACACCUGCAGCCUGGCGCCCUGCUUCCUUCUUUCAGGAAACAUCCCCUCUAAGGCGCCCCUCCUGCCCUCUUCCUUUGGCGACUGGUUAUUGAGAAAGAAGAAAACAAAAGGAGAUCUGAAGCUCAGAGAGGUUGUAAGUGGCUUGCUCAAAUGUGCAUGAUGGGCUGGGUUGUGGCCGUGCAGGAGUUGGAGACCGUGCGUGUCCCAUGACAUGUCCCAGGUGAGGGAAGUACGCCAGGACGUGAGAGGAGGAAGACGUCCAUCUCUGCUGCUGGGGGCUGCCUUCAAAGUCGUGCUGGGACCUGCUCUCUGCCAGUAAGGACACCGCCGCAUAAGAUGCUCAAUGUCACUUCGUUGGAGCAGAAGAUGGUGUGAGUCAACUCUGAAAGACGUCCCUUGAGGGGCACCCCUCCAGUUUGAGCCCCAUAGCAGACGCCACACUGAGUUCACUGGAUCGCCCUGAGAAGCUCGUGGGACUUACGCUGUGACUGUGACCAUGUAUCUCUGUGCCAGUGAUGUUCAGAGCAGCUAGGAAGGAAAUUCAGACUAGAACGAACUGUCAUGAGAGAGAUAUAAAGUCGAUGUGUGAAAGAACAUGUUUAUCAGUACUUGCUCUAAUUGAAGCAGGUAUUAUUUCCUAUUUUUUUAGUCCUAUAUUCUUCUAAAAUAUAACGUGAUUUUCACACUUUUAUCUCACUUCAAAUUAUUCAGAUCUGUUUUAGAACAUAGCCCUAUAUUUUAUAUAGGCAAAAAUCUGAAAUUAUCCCCUUUUCUUGAGCAGGGAGGUCAUAUUCUUCCUAAAUACUGCCUAAAAUGUUGUCGCAUUGCUUUCUCCCCACUUCAAUGUGUCCUGACUUAUGCUUUACCUGUAGAUAUAGGCCUUGUCCAUUAUCGACUCCAGAUGGUGAUUAAAUUCAAAAAAUGAGGUGUACUGUGUAGAAAACAAGCAAAAGAAAUCCAAAAAUGUGUUAGUCUUAGAUACAUCUAUGUAAAUAAAAUAGAUUUUGUUACUGAAAAUUAUUCUAUUCAUAUGUCUGUAAAAAACAAAACCUAGGGCCCGUUUAUCGGUGUCUUCCUCUGGACAGUACAUUUUAGCACAAUGCCAGACUUCCAGAGCUUCCGCUGUGCUUUAUUUUUACCCUCCAGUUAAGUCUUGUUUGUAAUGCUUGUUGAAAAUCAAGCUUAAAAACAUUUCUGUCCUUUUUCUUUUUAAUGCAUGUAGUAGAACUCUGUUUUACUUACAAUAAUUGAAAUCACACUCUCCCCAAAACGUAAAGUAGGAAAAGUAUAAUCUAAUACACUGACGUCACAAGAGCUGUUAAAUCUUGUUGUUCAACACUAACAUUGUUUUUAAGCA